rnacentral:lncRNA from 1 species
AUGAGGCUGGCCCAGCUGAGCUAUCUCAGGCUGCUGCCUAGAAUGAAAAGCAGAAGGGUGGGGAAGUGGGGCUCCCUCCCCUAGAACCUCUCCUCUGCUGUGCUGUGCUGCGCUGGACGGACAGGGGUCGGCGUGCUUGGGCAUCAUGGCCCUGCUCUCAUCCCUGAUGUGAGAACCUGGUUCAUUCCCAUCAUGUGCCUCAGUUUCCAUUUUCUGCUCUGCAGAGGAGAUUCCAGGCAAAAGUCUUAACUGAGAAGACUCCAGCUAUCUUAAUUUGGAAAAGACUAAAGGAAGAUGUGGUAGCAGUCUUCAAAUACUUAAGAUCUUUCCUGGGUUACUUUACCACCAGGACCAACCGAUAGAAGUUACAGGCUGAUUUUAGCUCAAAUAAGAAAGAAUUUAUGAGUUGCCUCAGGAGUUAAUGAGCUCCCCAGCAUUGGAAGUAUACAAGCAGAUGGAUGGCCAUCUGCCAGGACUGCCAUAGACAGUAUUCCAGCAUUGGAUUAGGAGAUUGAAUGAAGGUACCUUCCAUCUCUAAGAUCUUGGAUUCUCCGUCUAUCUCCUUGGCUCAAGGCUAAAAGGAAAUUUCAGUCUUUAGAGAAAUGUAACACUUAUUGUUGAAAGUAAAAGAUGUGCCUUAUGUAUUUGGGCCCUUCUCUUUAGCUUCAAGGGCACUUUUCUUUAAGCACUGAAGAUAAUUGAUACUAGGCAAUGCAAUUAUUACUUAAGUGCUCUAUUGACAAAGGUAAUAUUGACACACUCAAGUGUUAGUAGCUAAAUAGCAUUAACAGCCUUGUUAAAAAAGGGAAACACUUUACAUAAAAGGCCCAUACUUUCAAAAUAAGACCCAUCUGAAUAGAUGAGCAUCCUGCUUGUUUUUUAAAUGACUUCUUUUUUGAAGAAGAAGAAGAAGAAGAUUAUCCCUGAGCUAACUACUGCCCGUGCUCCUCUUCUUUUGCUGAGGAAGCCUGGCCCUGAGCUGACAUCCGUGCCCACCUUCCUCUACUUUACCUUAUAUGUGGGACGCCUACCACAGUAUGGCGUGCCAAGCGGAGCCAUGUCCGCACCCGGGAUCCGAACUGGCAAACCCUGGACCUCCAAAGCAGAACAUGCGCACUUAACGGCUGCACCACGGGGCCAGCCCCUAAGUGACUUCUUAUAACACACACGUGCAUAC